GAUGAACGCUGGCGGCGUGCCUAAUACAUGCAAGUCGAGCGAACAGACGAGGAGCUUGCUCCUCUGACGUUAGCGGCGGACGGGUGAGUAACACGUGGAUAACCUACCUAUAAGACUGGGAUAACUUCGGGAAACCGGAGCUAAUACCGGAUAAUAUAUUGAACCGCAUGGUUCAAUAGUGAAAUACGGUUUUGCUGUCACUUAUAGAUGGAUCCGCGCCGCAUUAGCUAGUUGGUAAGGUAAAGACUUACCAAGGCAACGAUUCGUAGCCGACCUGAGAGGGUGAUCGGCCACACUGGAACUGAGACACGGUCCACACUCCUACGGGAGGCAGCAGUAGGGAAUCUUCCGCAAUGCGCGAAAGCCUGACGGAGCAACGCCGCGUGAGUGAUGAAGGUCUUCGGAUCGUAAAACUCUGUUAUUAGGGAAGAAAAAAUGUGUAAGUAACUAUGCACGUCUUGACGGUACCUAAUCAGAAAGCCACGGCUAACUACGUG
rnacentral:rRNA from 1 species